GACGAACGCUGGCGGCGUGCUUAACACAUGCAAGUCGAACGGAAAGGCCCUGCUUUUGUGGGGUGCUCGAGUGGCGAACGGGUGAGUAACACGUGAGUAACCUGCCCUUGACUUUGGGAUAACUUCAGGAAACUGGGGCUAAUACCGGAUAGGAGCUCCUGCUGCAUGGGGGGGGUUGGAAAGUUUCGGCGGUUGGGGAUGGACUCGCGGCUUAUCAGCUUGUUGGUGGGGUAGUGGCUGACCAAGGCUUUGACGGGUAGCCGGCCUGAGAGGGUGACCGGCCACAUUGGGACUGCGAUACGGCCCAGACUCCUACGGGCGGCAGCAGUGGGGAAUAUUGCACAAUGGGCGGAAGCCUGAUGCAGCAACGCCGCGUGCGGGAUGACGGCCUUCGGGUUGUAAACCGCUUUCGCCUGUGACGAAGCGUGAGUGACGGUAAUGGGUAAAGAAGCACCGGCUAACUACGUG
rnacentral:rRNA from 1 species